AGAGUUUGAUCCUGGCUCAGGAUGAACGCUGGCGGCGUGCUUAACACAUGCAAGUCGAGCGAUUCUCUUCGGAGAAGAGCGGCGGACGGGUGAGUAACGCGUGGGUAACCUGCCCUGUACACACGGAUAACAUACCGAAAGGUAUGCUAAUACGAGAUAAUAUACUUUUAUCGCAUGGUAGAAGUAUCAAAGCUUUUGCGGUACAGGAUGGACCCGCGUCUGAUUAGCUAGUUGGUAAGGUAACGGCUUACCAAGGCGACGAUCAGUAGCCGACCUGAGAGGGUGAUCGGCCACAUUGGAACUGAGACACGGUCCAAACUCCUACGGGAGGCAGCAGUGGGGAAUAUUGCACAAUGGGCGAAAGCCUGAUGCAGCAACGCCGCGUGAGCGAUGAAGGCCUUCGGGUCGUAAAGCUCUGUCCUCAAGGAAGAUAAUGACGGUACUUGAGGAGGAAGCCCCGGCUAACUACGUGCCAGCAGCCGCGGUAAUACGUAGGGGGCUAGCGUUAUCCGGAAUUACUGGGCGUAAAGGGUGCGUAGGUGGUUUCUUAAGUCAGAGGUGAAAGGCUACGGCUCAACCGUAGUAAGCCUUUGAAACUGGGAAACUUGAGUGCAGGAGAGGAGAGUGGAAUUCCUAGUGUAGCGGUGAAAUGCGUAGAUAUUAGGAGGAACACCAGUUGCGAAGGCGGCUCUCUGGACUGUAACUGACACUGAGGCACGAAAGCGUGGGGAGCAAACAGGAUUAGAUACCCUGGUAGUCCACGCCGUAAACGAUGAGUACUAGCUGUCGGAGGUUACCCCCUUCGGUGGCGCAGCUAACGCAUUAAGUACUCCGCCUGGGAAGUACGCUCGCAAGAGUGAAACUCAAAGGAAUUGACGG
rnacentral:rRNA from 1 species